rnacentral:rRNA from 1 species
UGAGGAAUAUUGCGCAAUGGAGGCAACUCUGACGCAGCAACGCCGCGUGGGUGAAGAAGGCUUUCGGGUUGUAAAGCCCUGUCAGGUGGGAAGAACCCUCUAUAGGUGAAUAGUCUAUGGAGCUGACGGUACCACCAAAGGAAGCACCGGCUAACUCCGUGCCAGCAGCCGCGGUAAGACGGAGGGUGCAAGCGUUGUUCGGAAUCACUGGGCGUAAAGCGCGUGUAGGCGGUCCGGUAAGUCGAGUGUGAAAGCCCGAGGCUCAACCUCGGAAGUGCACUCGAAACUGUUGGGCUUGAGUACGGGAGAGGGAAGCGGAAUUCCUGGUGUAGAGGUGAAAUUCGUAGAUAUCAGGAGGAACACCGGUGGCGAAGGCGGCUUCCUGGACCGAUACUGACGCUGAGACGCGAAAGCGUGGGGAGCAAACA